GACGAACGCUGGCGGCGUGCCUAAUACAUGCAAGUAGAACGCACAGUUUAUACCGUAGCUUGCUACACCAUAGACUGUGAGUUGCGAACGGGUGAGUAACGCGUAGGUAACCUGCCUGGUAGCGGGGGAUAACUAUUGGAAACGAUAGCUAAUACCGCAUAAUAUUAAUUAUUGCAUGAUAAUUAAUUGAAAGGUGCAAUUGCACCACUACCAGAUGGACCUGCGUUGUAUUAGCUAGUAGGUGAGGUAACGGCUCACCUAGGCGACGAUACAUAGCCGACCUGAGAGGGUGAUCGGCCACACUGGGACUGAGACACGGCCCAGACUCCUACGGGAGGCGGCAGUAGGGAAUCUUCGGCAAUGGACGAAAGUCUGACCGAGCAACGCCGCGGGAGUGAAGAAGGUUUUCGGAUCGUAAAGCUCUGUUGUAAGAGAAGAACGGGUGUGAGAGUGGAAAGUUCACACUGUGACGGUAUCUUACCAGAAAGAGACGGCUAACUACGUG
rnacentral:rRNA from 1 species